rnacentral:rRNA from 1 species
GACGAACGCUGGCGGCGUGCUUCACACAUGCAAGUCGAACGGGGAUGCAGCAAAAGCUUGCUUUUAUUGCAUCCUAGUGGCGGACGGGUGAGUAACACGUGAGCAACCUGCCCGACAUACUGGGAUAACAGCGGGAAACCGUUGCUAAUACCGGAUACUCCAUUUCUGGCGCAUGUCAGAGAUGGGAAAGGGUUUACCGAUGUCGGAUGGGCUCGCGUCCCAUUAGCUGGUUGGUGAGGUAACGGCUCACCAAGGCUGCGAUGGGUAGCUGGUCUGAGAGGACGAUCAGCCACACUGGAACUGAGACACGGUCCAGACUCCUACGGGAGGCAGCAGUGGGGAAUAUUGCACAAUGGGCGAAAGCCUGAUGCAGCGACGCCGCGUGGAGGAUGAAGGCCUUCGGGUCGUAAACUCCUGUCUGGGGGGAUGAACACUGACAGUACCCCCGGAGGAAGCCCCGGCUAACUACGUGCCAGCCGCCGCAGUAA